rfam:Kluyvera intermedia strain CAV1151 plasmid pCAV1151-83, complete sequence.
AACCCCCUGAUCCUAUCUCAGAACUUUGGCCGGCUCAGAAUAGAAUCAGGGGGUACAAACUGCCCACUGGCAGAAAGGAUUAUAGCAAAUGCGUACCCUAUUGCAAUACAGCCCGGCCAAUAUG